AUGAAGAUGAAGGCCGUGAUGAGGAUGAGGAGGAUGGUGAAGAUGAAGAUGAUGAUGAUGAAGAUGAUGAUGAUGAAGAUGAUGAUGAUGAUGAUGAUGAUGAUGAUAAUGAAGGCCAUGAUGAAUACAACACAAUGGAGCCAGAAUAGGCUUCCCAUUGAGGCCUAUGAUCAAUCCCAUCACCCUGAGGCCUUCCUCCCCGCGCUCCUCCUCCUCCCUUCCUUCCUCCCCCCCAUAAAGAAGCCCUCAGGUUGUUUUUCCAAUCAGCUGCCGGCUGCGUCUUUAAUGAGCGCGCCUUACCGAAGGCGACGCCUCUUAACGAAGCACGACGAGACCAAUGGCUCCCAAUGGGAGAACACAGCAAUAGCACGACCCCAUGGGAACUCCUGGGGGUCCUGGGGGUCCGGCGGGGGGUCCUGGGGGGGGUCUUGAUGGGUUUCUGGGGGGUCCUGAGGGGUCCCUGGGGUCCUGGGGGGUCUUGAUUGGGUCUGGGGGUCCCUGAGGGGUCCCAGAGGGUCCUGGGGGGAUCCUGGGGGGUCGCCAAGGGGUCCUGGGGGUCCUGGGGGGUCCUGAGGGGUCCCAGAGGGUCCUAUGGGGGUCCUGAGGGGCUCCCAAGGGGGUCCUGGGGGGUCCUGGGGGGGUCUUGGGGAGUCCCAAGAGGAUCCUGGGGGGGCCUGGGGGGGUCUUGAGGGGUCCAGAGGGUCCUGGGGGAGGAUCCUGGGGGGUCCCAGGGGGUCCUGGAGGGUCUUGAUUGGUUUCUGGGGGUCCUGGGGGGUCCCUGAAGGGUCCUAUGUUGGGUCCUGAGGGGUCCCAGGGGGCCUGGGGGGGUUUAAUGGGGGGGUCGAGGGGUCCCAAGAGGAUCCUGGGGGGCCUUGGGGUUCCAGGGGGUCCUGGGGGUCUUGAUGGGUUCUGGGGGGUCCUGGGGCGGUCCUGAGGGUCCAGAGGGUACUGGGGGGGCUAUGGGGGGUCCCAGAGGGUCCUGGGGGGGUCUUGAUGGGUUUCUGAGGGAUCCUGGGGGGUCCCAGGGGGUCCUGGGGGGUCCUGAGGGGUACCCUGGGGGUUCCUGGGGGGGGUCUUGAUGGGUUUCUGGGGGUCUGGGGGGUCCUGAGGGUCCCCAGAGGUCCCAGAGGGUCCUGGGGGUAUGGGGGGUCUUCAGUUCCAGGGGUGUCCCAAGAGUCUGGGGGGUUUCUUGAGGAGUCCAUGGGGGUCCUGAGGGUCCUGGGGGGUCUUGAGGAGUCCAUGGGGGUCCUGGAGUGUCUUGGUGGUCCGUGGGGGUCCAUUGGGGUCCUGGAUUGGUCCUUGAGGACUCCAAAGGGGGUCCGGGGGUCCUGGGGGUCCAGGGGUCAAGGGGGGUCUUGAGAGUCCUGGGGUCCUCUGGGGUGUCCGCAUAGAGUCCAGGGGGGCUAAAGGGGUCCAGGGGGUCUUGGGUGUU
rnacentral:lncRNA from 1 species